rnacentral:rRNA from 1 species
ACGGAGAGUUUGAUCCUGGCUCAGGAUGAACGCUAGCGGCAGGCCUAACACAUGCAAGUCGAGGGGCAGCAUAGAUUGCUUGCAAUCUGAUGGCGACCGGCGCACGGGUGAGUAACGCGUAUGCAACCUGCCUUCUACAGGAGGAUAGCCCCCGGAAACGGGGAUUAAUACUCCAUAGUAUUGCGUCAACACAAGUUGAUGUUCUUAAAGCUUCGGCGGUAGAAGAUGGGCAUGCGUCCUAUUAGCUUGUUGGUAAGGUAACGGCUUACCAAGGCAUCGAUAGGUAGGGGGCCUGAGAGGGUGGCCCCCCACACUGGUACUGAGACACGGACCAGACUCCUACGGGAGGCAGCAGUGAGGAAUAUUGGUCAAUGGAGGCAACUCUGAACCAGCCAUGCCGCGUGCAGGAAGACAGCUUUCUGAGUUGUAAACUGCUUUUAUAUGGGAAGAAAAAGGCCUUGCGAGGCAAAUUGCCGGUACCAUAUGAAUAAGCACCGGCUAACUCCGUGCCAGCAGCCGCGGUAAUACGGAGGGUGCAAGCGUUGUCCGGAUUUAUUGGGUUUAAAGGGUACGUAGGCGGAUUUUUAAGUCCGUGGUGAAAGCCUACAGCUUAACUGUAGAACUGCCAUGGAUACUGGGAAUCUUGAAUUCAGUUGAGGUAAGCGGAAUUUAUGAUGUAGCGGUGAAAUGCAUAGAUAUCAUAAAGAACACCAAUUGCGAAGGCAGCUUGCUGGACUUGAAUUGACGCUGAGGUACGAAAGCGUGGGGAGCGAACAGGAUUAGAUACCCUGGUAGUCCACGCCGUAAACGAUCAUUACUCGAUAUCAGCGAUAUACAGUUGGUGUCUAAGCGAAAGUGAUAAGUAAUGCACCUGGGGAGUACGAUCGCAAGGUUGAAACUCAAAGGAAUUGACGGGGGCCCGCACAAGCGGUGGAGCAUGUGGUUUAAUUCGAUGAUACGCGAGGAACCUUACCUGGGCUCGAAUGGUACUGGAAUUAUACAGAAAUGUAUAAGUCUUCGGACUGGUAUCAAGGUGCUGCAUGGCUGUCGUCAGCUCGUG